UGGAAUGGUUUUCCCUUCAUGCUUUGACAGGCAACAACUCUUCAGUUGCAUCUGCAUUAUUAAGGUUUAAGAAUUUCUUAUUUCUUUUCGAGAUAUAUUUUUGAUAGAUGGCCUUAUUUCUUCUCGAGAUAUAUUUUUGAAGGAAUUGCACUAGAACAAAGAUUCUAGUGCAAUCGUGGAGGGGAAGCCACUUAUGUUGUUCAAAUUCCAUGCCCACAUUCAUGUCGAUAUUCGAUUCGGAUGCAGAUUUAGAGAUCGGAUUGUUCAUCACAUAAAUUUAAGACUGAAAAGUAAGGAUUCGAGUGCACGAGUGCUGGGAUAGGACAAAUAAAUGUAUAUUAUGACAUAAAUAGUAUUCUCAUGAAACCAAAAUACAAAUGGCGCAUGUUCGACGUUUCUUUGUUGGAAAUUGUUACUAAAACUCACUGGAGGCCAAAUGAAUAUCGUAAGGUUUUGAAGGACGGCAAAUGUUUGUACCUUGAAAUUGAUGAUUGUAGACAAGAUGUUGGUACAAUAGCUCAAAGAGGGUCGUGCAUUCUCUGAAAAGUGCCUCUGCUAAGAAUCGCCCUUGUGCAUCCCAGUGUCUCCUUCAAAAUUGUUGGUAUUUAAAGUGAGGAUGACCUGCUUUGCACACGUGCUUCUCCUUCCCCAUUGCAGCUGUUGUCCAGUGGGUUGGGGAUUCAUCUGAGUUCCCUUAAUAAAUCGAAUGCAAGCGAUGGUUCAUUCAAGCUCCCAGGAUACAUCUCAGGUCCUGAUGUUUACACAGUGAAGGAGAAGAAAGUACAACACCUUUGCUCAAGAGCUUUGAUUUUGUAAAGUCCGCAUUUGGUAUUAAUCAGAGGAAGUAGAACAACAUCAUACAUUGCAUCUCCUUGUGAAAAUAGCUGUGCACAUUGAGCUGUACUCUUCUCCAAAAAUGUUAAAAGUAAUAACUGCAAUACCUCAGUCUCAGUGGGAUUUCUUAUGGUGGUAGUGUUAUUGCUUACUAUUUCUGAAACCAGCUACUGAUUUCUUAUGCAACGAAUGCUACAUCUGGUCAAACAGAAAACGUAUCUCCGGGCUUGUCCACUUUACCAGCAUUUGGAAGGAAAUAUGACGUUAAUAGUGUAGCCAAUGAGCCUCUGUUGUUGUCCAAGGAUGUCAAUGUCUCAGACUCCUCCAUUCUUGGAUAUCCAAGAGCUCUUGCAUUUGGUGUUCCAAGCAACUCACACUUUGACACCCCAAGAUUUGAUUCCUAUUCCUUUGGCCAACCAGCAGUAUACAUGUCAGGGAGCAAAGGAAACGAAAGUACAACACCUUUGCUCAAGAGCUCUGGUUUUUGAAAGUCUGCAUUUGGUAUUAAUCAGAAAGGAAGUAGAACAACAUCAUACAUUGCAUCUCCAGAGAUAGAUAAUAUAAGACCCGGUGGUGCAAACAUUCAAUCCAUUUGUGGAAUGCAGACUUAUCAAGAUAAAAGCCAUGACGUGUUGAGGUUUGAGGACUACCAGUUAGGUGAUAAAGGUUUCAUUUGAAUUUGUCUACUUAGCUUUGGGAUGUGGGGCAGCUGCAUUUCUUUAGGUCCCUUGUUUGGUGAAAGACAGCCUUCUCGAAUAAUACUAUUUUGCAGCAAGAUUUAGCUUUCUGUGACAAGGAAACCAAUAUGGGAGAGGUGGUGGGGCGGAUGUCUGGUGACACUGUUCUUGUACAAGACGCAAUGGGGGAGUAGGUAGGGAAAUUUGUACCGCUGAUAUUAACAUGCCUUGCGGGCUUUGUCAUUGCAUUUACCAAAGGCUGGCUUCUCACAGUUGUUAUGUUAUCCAUCAUUCCUCUACUUGUCAUCUUUGGUGGAGUGAUGUCCCUCAUCCUAUCUAGGAUGGUGCCCCGUGGACAAGAUGCUUAUGCCAAGGCAGCAAGACAAUAGGCUCCUUUAAAAUGAAAAUAACCACCAGUAGAUGAGAUUGAUCUUGUUUCCUCGUCAGGCUGCAUCUUUUACAGGGGAGAAGCAAGUUGUGGCCAGCUAUUACGAGUCCCUAAUUAAAGAUUACCAUUCAGGGUCAAAUGAAGGGCUGUUAAGUGGAUUAGGUCUUGGGUCACAUUUUGCUAUUAUGUACUCCAGCUAUGCUUUGGCUAUCUGGUACGGUGCAAGGUUCAUCUUGGAAAAAGAUAUAUUGGUGGUCAAGUUCUCUAUGUUUCUGACACGAAGCUUCUCCAAUAAGUAGCAAGCAAUUUACUUUUUAAGGUUGAAGCCAAAGGAACUUUCUGUUUAGACGGCUUUUGCUGCAGGAUGUAGAACUCCCAAAAAGUGGAAAAGCGUAGGAGGAAUGGGGGCUGUUAGGCUUGUUUUCAAUUUGAAGCUGAAGUGCCAGAAAGCAAUACUACAAGAAAGGCUCUAUGCCUAUUCCUAACUUCUGAUGUAACUGCUUAAAAGUUGAAACUGAAGAAAGUUGAAGAGCUGUGAAACCCCUAUUCUUCACGGUUCAGAUCGUUUACUUAUGUACUGGAACAUUUGGAGAAGAGAGUGUGAAGGUUGUGUGUACUGAAGGACCAUAGAAAAUUAGAGAACUGGGUGCUAUGGGUGCUUAUGGGGAGGAUGGCAAUAUGCAUCUAGCCAGGGAAUGGGGCCGC